ACUGACUGAAAGCUGUCAGCGUCCAACGGUCAUCCUAAUUUCUUCUUCAUUAGAUUUGGUGGUAAGCAAGUGCACUGGUUCACCCAAGGGGUGAAGAGAUACUGUCGGCUAAAGAGAAACUGCAAAAGCGGUGGACAGCACAGGCGAAACGCUAAACUCUGAAAAAAGGUCUCACUAUGUAGCCCUGGAUGGCCUGAAACUUACUACAUAGACCAGACUGGCUUCAAGCUCACAGAGAUCCACCUGCUUGAAAUUCAAGCCACGAGCAAUCAUGCCAUGCAGCAAUGUUUUAAAUGGGCAAAGAUGCUACCCCUGCAUAUCCGGAUGGGACUUGGUGUAACCUCCUUCUGGGGAUGAAGCACAUUUGUGGCUAUGACAAUUGGAGAGGUGGAGUAGAGUAAACCGCUUACUCUCUCUUA